GGCCGGAUAGCACAGCGGUUAGUGCACAGAUGUUCAAUUGGCAGUAUUCGUUCCACUACCCUCGUUCGACUCGGGGUUUGGCCU